rnacentral:rRNA from 1 species
GACAGCAGUCGCCGCGGGAAUACGGAGGGUGCAAGCGUUAAUCGGAAUUACUGGGCGUAAAGCGCACGCAGGCGGUCUGACAAGUCAGAUGUGAAAUCCCCGGGCUUAACCUGGGAACUGCAUUUGAAACUGUCAGGCUGGAGUCUUGUAGAGGGGGGUAGAAUUCCAGGUGUAGCGGUGAAAUGCGUAGAGAUCUGGAGGAAUACCGGUGGCGAAGGCGGCCCCCUGGACAAAGACUGACGCUCAGGUGCGAAAGCGUGGGGAGCAAACAGGAUUAGAUACCCCAGUAGUCCCUGUCUCUUAUAC